rnacentral:rRNA from 1 species
AGUGAACGCUGGCGGUAGGCCUAACACAUGCAAGUCGAACGGGUGGAGGACGGGUGAGGAAUACAUCGGCAUCUAGUCUGUCGAGGGGGAUAACGUAGGUAACCUUACGCUAAUACCGCAUACGAUGGAUUGAGGCGAUGCGGGUUUAGCUAGUGGGAGGGGUAAAGGCCCACCAAGGCGACGAUCCGUAGCUGGUCUGAGAGGGUGAUCAGCCACACUGGAACUGAGACACGGCCCAGACUCCUACGGGAGGCAGCAGUGGGGAAUAUUGGACAAUGGGCGCAAGCCUGAUCCAGCCAUACCGCGUGGGUGAAGAAGGCCUUCGGGUUGUAAAGCCCUUUUGUUGGGAAAGCGGUACCCAAAGAAUAAGCACCGGCUAACUUCGUGCCAGCAGCCGCGGUAAUAC